rnacentral:rRNA from 1 species
AGAGUUUGAUCCUGGCUCAGAACGAACGGUGGCGGUGUGCUUACUACAUGCAAGUCGAGCGGGCCUCGGGGGCAACUCUGGGGUUUAGCGGCGGACGGGUGAGUAAAGUAUAGAUGACCUGCCUUCGAGAGGGGGAUAACGCUUCGAAAGGGGUGCUAAUACCGCGUAAAGUCAGGUUCGCGCAUGCGAGUUUGAUGAAAGUGGGGGAGCCCGCGAGGGUCCUCACGCUCGGAGAGGGGUCUAUAUCCUAUUAGCUAGUUGGCGGGGUAAGAGCCCACCAAGGCGAUGAUGGGUAGCCGGCCUGAGAGGGUGUUCGGCCACAUGGGCACUGAGACACGGGCCCGACUCCUACGGGAGGCAGCAGUAGGGAAUAUUGGGCAAUGGGCGAAAGCCUGACCCAGCGACACCGCGUGGAUGACAGAAGGCCUUCGGGUUGUAAAGUCCUAACACACAUUAAGAAAGCUGCGAGGUUAAUAGCUUUGUAGUUUGACAAAGGUGUGAGAUGAAGUCAUGGCUAACUCUGUGCCAGCAGCCGCGGUAAUACAGAGAUGGCAACCGUUGUUCGGAAUCACUGGGCUUAAAGAGCACGUAGGCGGAAUGUUAAGUUGGUUGUGAAAGACCACGGCUUACCCGUGGGAAGUCAGCCAAAACUGGCAUUCUGGAGGUCAGUAGGGGAGAGUGGAAUUCCUGGUGGAGCGGUGAAAUGCGUUGAUAUCAGGAGGAACGCCGGAGGUGAAGACGACUCUCUGGACUGAACCUGACGCUGAGGUGCGAAAGCUAGGGGAGCAAACGGGAUUAGAUACCCCGGUAGUCCUAGCCGUAAACGAUGGGUACUAAGUAGGGGGGGUCAUACCUCUCUGCCGGAGCAAAAGUGUUAAGUACCCCGCCUGGGGAGUAUGGUCGCAAGGCUGAAACUCAAAGGAAUUGACGGGGGCUCGCACAAGCGGUGGAGCAUGUGGUUUAAUUCGAAUCAACGCGAAGAACCUUACCUGGGCUUGACAUUCUGGGAUUAGCUGCCUGAAAGGGUAGUGACGUUCCUUCGGGAAUGGAACCAGAACAGGUGUUGCAUGGCUGUCGUCAGCUCGUGCCGUGAGGUGUUGGGUUAAGUCCCCUAACGAGCGAAACCUUUGUCCUUAGUUCCAGCGGGUAAUGCCGGGGACUCUAAGGAGACUGCAGACGUUAAGUCUGAGGAAGGUGGAGACGACGUCAAGUCAUCAUGGCCCUUAUGCCCAGGGCGACACACGUGCUACAAUGGUCGGUACAAAGGGAAGCAAGACCGCAAGGUGGAGCAAAUCCCAAAAAGCCGAUCUCAGUUCGGAUUGAGGGCUGCAAUUCGCCCUCAUGAAGCUGGAAUCGCUAGUAAUCGUGGGUCAGCUAUACCACGGUGAAUGUGUUCCCGAGCCUUGUACACACCGCCCGUCAAGCCACCGAAGCAGGGGUAGCCUGAAGUCACUGACCCAACCCGCAAGGGAGGGAGGUGCCCAAGGAAGCUUCUGUGACGGGGACUAAGUCGGAACAAGGUA